CGCUCUGGUGGCCUAGUGGUUCGAGCAUCCGCCUCAGACGCAGGAGGCUUAGAGUUCGAUCCCUGGUUAAGUUA